rnacentral:lncRNA from 1 species
AUGGGUUCAGCUGCCAGGCACGGCGAAAUGAGCUUCCAUCCACGUGGAGUAGGCGCGGAGGCCCCUUCCCCGCCUGGGCCCCGCCGCGCAGGAUGGGCGCUCGGCUCCGGCGCCUGGGCUGUGCACUCCGCGUGGGCGGGAGGCCUAAACGGACGACCUUGGGCUCCGGAAAGCUGGCCUGCGCACUCAGGUCACCCUGUCCUGUUUACCGGAGCAGCUCCGGGAUUUGAUGUGUCUGAUACAUCUCGGUCAUCCUUCAUGAAGGACUCUUCCCCCCCAAGACUAAGUUAAGACUUUUUUAUUAUAACACAACACUCCCUGUAUUUCCCUUUCCCAGUGCUUAACUAUGCAUUCUAAUUACAUAAUUUUGCGGUUUUUAUUAUUUAUGCCCAUCUCCUUCACAGUGGAAGAGGACAAGGACAAGAGAUUAUGUGUAGGAUUUUUUUUUGAUAAUGCAUUUCAUCCACUUAGCAGGUAUUCAAUCUAAUUGACAUAUUUUGAAUGAAUGAUUAUUAAGAAUUUGAUGGCCCAGAAUUAGUGGCUAGGCUAAAUAAAAAUGAGGGGUAGAAAAUACAAAAUGGCACCAAAUUUUUUUUUUCUGUACCUAGAAAGUGAAAUCAGGAAUAUUCAGAGUAGACUGAAUUUUCUGUGUAAUGAUUGAGCUCAGCUCUACAAAGACUGUCCUUGGGGGCUAAGUAGACAUUCAAAUGGAUGUGUACCUUUGGGGUAAUAAUCCCAGAGAUUAAAAGCCUAAAGGCAUGCAGUUAGGGUCUAAAUAUAAAGGUUCAGUGGGAGUGGGAUCUGUGCAUCCCAUAAAUGUCUGUUAAAAAUACAGAUCCCUGCACUCUGACUUCACGCAGUGAAGCAGAAUCUCUGGUGGAACCCAAGUAGUUGCAUUUUUAUGUAUUCCUUGGGUGAUUCUACUGUAGACCAGAAGUUUUAGAAUCAGUUCUUAGACAUCAAAAAAUUUGGUUAAUUCUCAGAAAAAUAUUUAAUGCAUUGUAUUCAUUUUCUUCCAUUGCCUUGUAGGAUACUGGGUGGAUUUAAAGGAACAAAUCAAAAGACAUUAAUUCCUGUUCACUGAG